GCCGGGCGUGGUGGCUCAUGCCUGUAAUCCCAACACCUUGGGAGGCCAAGGUGGGUGGAUCACCUGAGGUCAGGAGUUCGAGACCAGCCUGGCCAACAUGGUGAAAUCCCAUCUCUA
ensembl:misc_RNA Metazoa_SRP Metazoan signal recognition particle RNA